rnacentral:rRNA from 1 species
UACAGAGGGGGCAAGCGUUGUUCGGAAUUACUGGGCGUAAAGGGCGCGUAGGCGGCCUACUAAGUCGGACGUGAAAUCCCCGGGCUCAACCCGGGAACUGCGUCCGAUACUGGAAGGCUUGAAUCCGGGAGAGGGAUGCGGAAUUCCAGGUGUAGCGGUGAAAUGCGUAGAUAUCUGGAGGAACACCGAUGGCGAAGGCAGCCUCCUGGGCCAACACUGACGCUCAUGCACGAAAGCGUGGGGAGCAAACAGG